rnacentral:rRNA from 1 species
AGUGAACGCUGGCGGUAGGCCUAACACAUGCAAGUCGAACGGCAGCACAGUAAGAGCUUGCUCUUACGGGUGGCGAGUGGCGGACGGGUGAGGAAUACAUCGGAAUCUACUUUUUCGUGGGGGAUAACGUAGGGAAACUUACGCUAAUACCGCAUACGACCUACGGGUGAAAGCAGUGGAUCUUCGGACCUUUCGCGAUUCAAUUAGCCGAUGUCGGAUUAGCUAGUUGGCGUGGUAAAGGCCCACCAAGGCGACGAUCCGUAGCUGGUCUGAGAGGAUGAUCAGCCACACUGGAACUGAGACACGGUCCAGACUCCUACGGGAGGCAGCAGUGGGGAAUAUUGGACAAUGGGCGAAAGCCUGAUCCAGCAAUACCGCGUGAGUGAAGAAGGCCUUCGGGUUGUAAAGCCCUUUUGUUGGGAAAGAAAAGCAGCAGGUUAAUACACGGCUGUUCUGACGGUACCCAAAGAAUAAGCACCGGCUAACUUCGUG